rnacentral:RNase_P_RNA from 1 species
GGAGUCGGCCGGACAGUCGCGGCCGCCAGCAAUGGCGGCGGAGGAAAGUCCGGGCUCCGCAGGGCAGGGUGCCAGGUAACGCCUGGGGGGCGCGAGCCUACGGAAAGUGCCACAGAAAAUACACCGCCGAUGGCCCGCGCAAGCGGGAUCAGGCAAGGGUGAAAAGGUGCGGUAAGAGCGCACCGCGCGGCCGGCAACGGUUCGUGGCAGGGUAAACCCCACCCGGAGCAAGACCGAAUAGGGGAGCAUCGUGCGGCCCGUACGGCUCCCGGGUAGGUCGCUAGAGGCGGAUGGCGACAUCCGUCCCAGACGAAUGACUGUCCCAGACAGAACCCGGCUUACAGGCCGACUCCCAUG